GAAAGAUUGGCAACAGUUGUUAACCCAGGUGCCAAUCCUUAAAAAAAAAAAAGAAUUUUCAUUUUAAAAUAAAGUGCUCUUAUGAGCCAGUAAUUCUAGUCUAGAUCAGGUAUCCAACAGAAAUGCAUUAAUAUAUCCACUAAAACACAGGCACCAGAAUACCUGUAAUACACCAAACUGGGAUCUACUGACAAGCCCAUCAGCGUAGAACGGAUGAAUAAAUUGAUGACGUUCACACAGUAGAGUACUAUGCAGCACCGAGAAUGACAAGCCAUAACUACACACAAUAAUGUGGAUGAAUCUCACAAACAACGUUGAGCAAAAGAAGCCAGGCACUUCUUUCUCUAUUACUCUUUGGUUUACAUAAAGUUUAAGAACAGGCAAAACUAAGGCAUGACAUUAGACAUGAGGACGAUGAUUAUCUCUGAGGGAUGGGAACCGAGAGGGGCAGUGGCAGGGCUGCAGGGGGCCCUGGUGGCAUUCGGUUUCUUGAUCUGGGGUAGGUUACAUGGGUGGUUCAUUGUGAAAAUAUACUGAGCAGUCUGGUCACUUCCCUGUCCCUGACCAGUUGAGUGACCAACUGCCCUGGUUUGCCUGAGACUGUCCUUGCCUUAGCACUGAAAGCCCUGUGUCCUGGGAAAUCCAUAAGUCCUGGGUGAACUGGCAUGGCGGUCACCCUCUAGGACAUGGGAAAUGGGUGGCUGUGUGGGUUUCCUUGGCCCGAGUUACCUCAAUGCCAAAUGAAGAUCGAAUCCCCACCACAAGCCACCUCCCAGAUUUGUUCUGAGGAUUAAACAAGAGCCUGGGUAGAAAUCCACGGCUGCAGACAUUCCUAAUCCCACAGCAGUGGGAAAGCAACUGGGGACAGUGAGGCAAAUCUCAAUGAUGGCUGCAGACGGACCCAGGAACCAAGCCGGGCCGUGGGACAGCUGGGUCUGAACAGCCGAGCUGACCAAAGACUGUUUCUCAAGGGUCAGGUGUCUCCCCAGGGGCCACAGAUCCAGUGGGAACACCAUCCAGCCUGGGUCAGCCCCAGAAGGGACGAGCUGGGCCCAUUCUUCCUUACUCACCAAGGGAGCCAGGAGUACAGAAUCAGCGUCAACCAAAAAUAUUUUUUCAAACUGAAAGCACGCCUAUCUGCCUCUUCUGGGAGGCCAGCCCACGCUCCGUGUUGCCACACAAGUUCAGCCUCAGGCACUGCCUCUGAGGCUGAUGACCAUCUGCAGCCUGGGUGCAGAGACUCCCACCCACAGGGUGCGUCCCAGAGCCUCAGAGUGCAUCCUUGGAUCAGCACCUCUGGCCACCUGGCUCCUCUCACAAAUGUGGAAUCUCAGGGCCCCCACACCUUCUGAGUCAGAACCUGCAAUUUAAGGCAAGCCCUAGGGGAUUUAUGCCUAUUAAAGUUUGCAAAGCACUGGUCUAGAUUACUGGCCUCUCCUUUCUUCUCCAGCAUUAACUGAAAUGGCUGUGUAUUUUCCACCUGAUUUCCCAAGUCUAAUUACAGUGUGGCUUUCUGUUGUCUGUUGGCCCUGCUGAGGGCUCUGUCAUCAAAAGUGCUUAUUAAUCAGUCCAUAUACUGGACUCAGAGACAAGGCUGGCAGUUGGAGUCCCCCUCCCAUGAAGACGGGGGUGCUGCCUUGGAAAACAAUGAUGAUGCCCACAGGAGAAGUGCACCUGGGCUCCCUCCCUCCUUCUCCGUGGACCCUACAGACUUACACACCUGAAGGUGCCACAAACUCUGGGGUGCCAAAAAGGACCUUCAGAGACCCGGCAUUCUCUGUAACCAGGAUGGAGAUGGAUCAGUUGCCCGGAACAGCCUGGACCCAGCUCACGCCAGCAUGUGGAACACAGACAGCCACCGCCACUGCCAUGGCAUGUUGGUGACAACAGGAGAGGAGGAUCGGCCUCACCCAGCUUCCUG